rnacentral:rRNA from 1 species
UGAAAACCGCUCGGAUGACUUGUGGGUAGGGGUGAAAGGCCAAUCAAGCCUGGAGAUAGCUGGUUCUCCCCGAAAUCUAUUGAGGUAGAGCCUCAGGAAAUGUUUGCAGGAGGUAGAGCGACUGGAUGGGCGCGGGGGGGCGAAGCCCCUACCAACCCCAACCAAACUCCGAAUGCCUGUAAAAUGAAUCCUGGGAGGCAGUCGUUGAGCGAUAAUGUCCAACGGCGAGAGGGAAAGAACCCAGNNCGUGCCGUGACAACUGGGAGGUUGGCUUAGAAGCAGCCAUUCCUUUAAAGAGUGCGUAAUAGCUCACCAGUCCAGCGUGUUCGCGCCGAGAAUGGUCGGGAUUAAGCGGCCCGCCGAAGCUUGGUCUUCAUACUUAUGUAUGAGGGGUAGGGGAGCGUUCCCAUCUGCUGUGAAGCCAUCGUGGAAACGGUGGUGGAGCGUUGGGAAGUGAGGAUGCCGGAAUGAGUACGCGCAAAUGCGGGUGAAAACCCCGCACACCGUAAGCCCAAGGAUUCCUGCGCCAUGGCAAUCAGCGCAGGGUGAGGCGGACCCUAAGGCGAGGCCCCAAAGGCGUAGUCGAUGGACAGCCGGUCAAUAUUCCGGCCCCGCCUGCAGUGUGUUAACAACGACAGAGGGACCCAGAAACGAAGCGCGAGCGGCCUUGUGGAUUGGCCGUUCAACACCGUAGGGAAACCGAGAGUGGAGUACGAGAGUGCGGGGCAACCCAAACUCGAGUCGCGUAGAGUCGGCUGGCAAGAAAAGCUCUGUUCGGGAUUGCUGCAGACGUCCGUACCGUAAACCGACACAGGUGGGCGAGGCGAGCAGCCUCAGGUGAACGAGUGAAACGUGGUCAAGGAACUCGGCAUAAUGAUCCCGUAACUUCGGAAGAAGGGAUGCCCUUUGAGGUAGCCGGCUUCGCGCUGGUCGCUUCGAAGGGUCGCAGAUAAUCGGCUCAAGCGACUGUUUAGCAAAAACACAGGUGUGUGCCAAGCCGCACAAGGCGCCGUAUACACACUGACGCCUGCCCGGUGCCGGAAGGUUAAGGGGAGAGGUUAGCCGCAAGGCGAAGCUUUGAGCCGAAGCCCCGGUAAACGGCGGNNNNNNNNNNNNNNNNNNNNNNNCACGAAUGGCGUAACGACUUGAGCACUGUCUCGACCACGUGCUCGGCGAAAUUGCAGUCUCGGUGAGGAUUCCGAGUCCCCGCGACAGGACAAAAAGACCCCAUGCACCUUUACUGUAGCUUGCCAUUGGACGUCGCACGUGACUGUGUAGCAUAGGUGGGAGCCGAUGAGGCCCGGGCGCUAGCUCGGGCGGAGGCAACAGUGAAAUACCACCCUGGCUCCUGUAACGUCCUCACCACGUACUAGCAAACCUAGGCUGGGACCGUGGCAGGUGGGCAGUUUGACUGGGGCGGUCGCCUCCGAAAGAGUAACGGAGGCGCGCGCAUGGUGCCCUCAGUGCGGUCGGUAAUCGCACGAUGAGUGUAUACGCAGAAGCCAGCCUGACUGCGAGCGCGACAGCGCGAGCAGGGACGAAAGUCGGUGUAAGUGAUCCGGUGGGACCGUGUGGACGGCCCAUCGCUCAUCGGAUAAAAGGUACGCUGGGGAUAACAGGCUUAUCGCGCCCGAGAGUUCACAUCGACGGCGCGGUUUGGCACCUCGAUGUCGGCUUGUCACAUCCUGGGGCUGGAGAAGGUCCCAAGGGUCCGGCUGUUCGCCGGUUAAAGUGGCACAUGAGCUGGGUUCAGAACGUCGUGAGACAGUUCGGUCUGUAUCCGUCGUGGGCGUGGGAGUGUUGAGGGACGUCGUCCUUAGUACGAGAGGACCGGGACGAAGCGACCGCUCGUGUACGGGCUGUUCCGCCAGGGGCAGCGCCCGGUAGCGAUGUCGCGCGAAGAUAACCGCUGAAAGCAUCUAAGUGGGAAACUUUUCCCAAGAUGAACACUCCUGGAUCUUAAGAUCCCUGAAGGGCCCUGGGAGACUACCAGGUUGAUAGGCGGCAGAUGCAAGGCGUACAAGCGCUUCAGUCGAGCCGUACUAAUCGCCCGUGCAGUUUGAUCU